AGAGUUUGAUCAUGGCUCAGGAUGAACGCUGGCGGCGUGCCUAACGCAUGCAAGUCGAGCGAGGACCGCCCGGUGGCAACACCGGGUUGGUGCCUAGCGGCGAACGGGUGAGUAACACGUGGGUAACCUGCCCCCGACACCGGGAUAAGCCUGGGAAACUGGGUCUAAUACCGGAUAUGAGCCUCCUCCGCAUGGUGGAGGCUGGAAAGGGUCCCCGGUCGGGGAUGGGCCCGCGUCCUAUCAGCUUGUUGGUGGGGUAACGGCCUACCAAGGCGACGACGGGUAGCCGGCCUGAGAGGGUGUACGGCCACACUGGGACUGAGACACGGCCCAGACUCCUACGGGAGGCAGCAGCGGGGAAUAUUGCGCAAUGGGCGAAAGCCUGACGCAGCGACGCCGCGUGCGGGAUGAAGGCCUUCGGGUUGUAAACCGCUUUCAGCAGGGACGAAGCGCAAGUGACGGUACCUGCAGAAGAAGGUCCGGCCAACUACGUGCCAGCAGCGGCGGUAAUUC
rnacentral:rRNA from 1 species